UACGGAGGGAGCUAGCGUUGUUCGGAAUUACUGGGCGUAAAGCGCACGUAGGCGGCUUUGUAAGUUAGAGGUGAAAGCCCGGGGCUCAACUCCGGAAUUGCCUUUAAGACUGCAUCGCUUGAAUCCGGGAGAGGUGAGUGGAAUUCCGAGUGUAGAGGUGAAAUGCGUAGAGAUCAGGAAGAACACCGGUGGCGAAAGCGGGUUGCUGGGCUGAUACUGACGCUGAGGCGCGAAAGCCAGGGGAGCGAACGGG
rnacentral:rRNA from 1 species